rnacentral:rRNA from 1 species
UUUAUGGAGAGUUUGAUCCUGGCUCAGGAUGAACGCUGGCGGCGUGCCUAAUACAUGCAAGUCGAGCGAACGGACGAGAAGCUUGCUUCUCUGAUGUUAGCGGCGGACGGGUGAGUAACACGUGGAUAACCUACCUAUAAGACUGGGAUAACUUCGGGAAACCGGAGCUAAUACCGGAUGAUAUUUUGAACCGCAUGGUUCAAAAGUGAAAG